rnacentral:rRNA from 1 species
AUUGAACGCUGGCGGCAGGCCUAACACAUGCAAGUCGAACGAGUGGCGGACGGGUGAGUAAUGUCUGGGAAUCUGCCCGAUGGAGGGGGAUAACUACUGGAAACGGUAGCUAAUACCGCAUACUAUCGGAUGUGCCCAUAUGGGAUUAGCUAGUUGGUGGGGUAACGGCUCACCUAGGCGACGAUCCCUAGCUGGUCUGAGAGGAUGACAAGCCACACUGGAACGGAGAAACGGUCCAGACUCCUACGGGAGGCAGCAGUGGGGAAUAUGGCACAAUGGGCGCAAGCCUGAUGCAGCCAUGCCGCGUGUAUGAAGAAGGCCUUCGGGUUGUAAAGUACUUUCAGCGGGGAGGCGAUACCCGCAGAAGAAGCACCGGCUAACUCCGUGCCAGCAGCCGCGGUAAUUC